UGGCUGCAGUAUCUUGACUGUGCAAAGGUAGCAUAAUAAUUAGUUUCUUAAUUAGAAGCUGGUAUGAAUGGAUGUAUGAGAUUUAUAUUUUAUUUAUUUAAUUUUUAAAAAUUAAAUUUUAAGUAAAAAUGCUUAAUUAAUUUCUUGGGACGAUAAGACCCUAUAGAACUUUAUAUAUAAAUUUAUAUUAAAUUUUUAUUUAAAAUAUUUGUUUAUAUUUUUAUAUUUUUUGCUGGGGUGGUAGUUAAAUUUUAAACUUUAAUUUUUUAAUUCAUUUUUACAUGUAAUUUUUGAUCUUUAGAAAGGAUAAUAAGAUAAAGUUACCUUAGGGAUAACAGCGUAAUUUUAAUGGGGAGUUCAUAUCUAUAUUAUUUUUUGCGACCUCGAUGUUGAAUUAAGAAAAAAUAAAGAAGCAGAAUUCUUUAGUUUAAGUCUGUUCGACUUUUAAAUUCUUACUUGAUCUGAGUUCAGACCGGA
rnacentral:rRNA from 1 species